UCUCUGUGGAAGAUGGUUUUUCCUGAGAACCCUCAGGAAGUAGAGUCUCUGCUGUGCCUUCUUGAGCCAUGGUGUUGGUACUCCAAGUCAGGUCAUCCCUCAGGUGCACACCCAGAAACCGGAAGUCAGAGACCCUCUCCACACAGUCUCCACCAGUGACCAGUGGCUGAAUAUCUGAUUUCCUCC